CACCGCGGUUAAACGGGAGACCCAAGUUGACAGACGACGGCGUAAAGCGUGGUUAAGAUACUUAUUAAAUAGGGCCGAAUAGUCUCAAAACAGUCAAAUCUAUUCGAGACCACAAAGUUCAUCCACGAAGGUGGCCCUAAACACCUCUGACCCCACGAAAGCCAUAACA
rnacentral:rRNA from 1 species